CAKCGAUGGAUAUCUUGGCUCGGGCACCUGUGAAGGGCGCAGCGAARCGCGAUAGUCUUUGUGAAUUGCAGAACUCCGUGAACCAAYGGCCUCCCGAACGUGCWUUGCACUCUUGGGAUUUCCUGAGAGUAUG
rnacentral:rRNA from 1 species